GACGAACGCUGGCGGCGUGCCUAAUCCAUGCAAGUAGAACGCAGUUGCGAACGGGUGAGUAACGCGUAGGUAACUGCCUCAAAGCAGCGGCUAACUAUCGGGACCGAUAGGUAAUACCGCAUACUGUGAGAUGGACCUGCGUUGUAUUAGCUAGUUGGUGAGGUAAAGGCUCACCAAGGCGACGAUACAUAGCCGACCUGAGAGGGUGAUCGGCCACACUGGGACUGAGAAACGGCCCAGACUCCUACGGGAGGCAGCAGUAGGGACUCUGCGGCAAUGGACGGAAGUCUGAGCGAGCAACGGCGGGUGAUAAAAGAAGGUUUUCGGAUCCUAAAGCUCGGUUGUUUGAUAGGCGGUAAUUAACCAGAAAGUGCCGGCUAAAUACGUGCCAGCAGCCGCGGUAAUUC
rnacentral:rRNA from 1 species